rnacentral:tRNA from 1 species
CUGGAAAUAGUUUAUUCAAAAUUUUAAUUUUGGAGAUUAAAGAUAUCAUUUGAUUUUCUAGA